UACGUAGGUGGCAAGCGUUAUCCGGAAUUAUUGGGCGUAAAGCGCGCGCAGGUGGUUUCUUAAGUCUGAUGUGAAAGCCCACGGCUCAACCGUGGAGGGUCAUUGGAAACUGGGAGACUUGAGUGCAGAAGAGGAAAGUGGAAUUCCAUGUGUAGCGGUGAAAUGCGUAGAGAUAUGGGGGAACACCAGUGGCGAAGGCGACUUUCUGGUCUGUAACUGACACUGAGGCGCGAAAGCGUGGGGAGCAAACAGGAUUAGAAACCCGUGUAGUCC
rnacentral:rRNA from 1 species